rnacentral:lncRNA from 1 species
GGUGCAAGUCGUGGUUUUUUUACACCUUUUGAGCCGGGUGUUUUCCACGUAAAAAUCAUUGUGUUCUUUACUUUCUGUUUACUGCUUCCUUGAAACACGUCAGUGGAACACGUCAGGCAACACGCUCCAUCGAUAAGCAAAAGUUAGGUGAAAAUAAGAAAAUCAGUACGGCACGAAUUCUUAACAAACUUUAUGAGGAAGAAACCAUCAUCAAAUAGUAGAUAGUUGGCUUUGUUAGGAACAUCCCUUGGCUAGAUAUAAACCUUGCUACUACUCAUAUUGUAGGCGACUCACCAACAACAUAUAAGAUAAUGACUGCUUUCCACACCAUCGAUUCCUUAUCUACAUCAUCCUUAUCUAAUUUAGUCAUUUUGACUCCAUUCUGUAUUAACAGGGUAAAAUACUACAAGGUCUUACCUUUUGAAGCGCUAUCAUAGAUCCUGAAAGUAGAGGUUUUCCAAGUUUUUCUCAUGUGUUGUAGCCUCUGGGACUUGCGACUCUAGCUUUGCUUAAUUCUGCAAUUUGGCUUGUAAACCUCUCUCCAUCGUGGUAGGUGCUGCUCCUAGACCCUGUAAUUUACUCUGCAAACUUUGUAGAGUUGGCCACUGUUCCAUUGUAACUUCAUCAUGUGCCUUACGCUUCUUCGUCGAUUGACUUUGGAUCAUUUGUGUUAUCUAUUUUCCUCGACUCGUCGUAGUCUUUGGGAGAUCCGUUGCUUCAUCAGAUCUACCACCUUCUCUAUGGAAGAGACCAUGGGGCUUUGUUGCACCACGGUAGUUGUCGGUGCCCUAGGGUCUUGUGUUGGUUCAAAGAUCUCCAAAAUUCUUCAAUUAGUCUUGGCCAAGUUCACAUCAGUCGUCUGUGUAUAAAAUGUGUUCUUUCUAGGCCGAGCGAGGCCCAUUGCCCGUGGUGGCAUGCAGAUUUUGCACCACUAGUGUACGCAAAACUAUCAUGCAUUGAAAGUUUUCUUCUUUAAGAAAAUACUGGGUGCACCUCAAGAAAGUAAAGGAUGGCGACACUGUAUUUAGUGGGAUUUGAUCCUAAGUCCUAAAACUGAACAACUUAACUUUCAUUCAAAUGCAAUGUUUAGCUCUCUUGUUACAUGUUACUAACAGAUAAUAUUAAUACUAAUUUUAAAGAAUAUAUACAUUAAAUAUCUAGG